GUUGUGGACUACGUCUGUGCGGCUGCGUGGGGCUCGGCCGCGCGGACUGAAGGAGACUGAAGGCCCUCGGAUGCCCAGAACCUGUAGGCCGCACCGUGGACUUGUUCUUAAUCGAGGGGGUGCUGGGGGGACCCUGAUGUGGCACCAAAUGAAAUGAACAAAGCUCCACAGUCCACAGGCCCCCCACCCGCCCCAUCCCCCGGACUCCCACAGGUAAUUAGGGAGGAAUUAGCAGGGGAGGGGGUAGGGGAGACCAGGCAGUCGGGCAGGAACAGGUUCCAGCCUCCGGAUUUUCCUACCCCCAUCUGUGUCAGGGCAAAGUGCAGCCGCCUGCUGCCAAAUUGAGACAGGGCCCCUGGGCUGUCCCCGGGGGCUGUCACGGGGAGGGGGUAUGUGGAUUGUUAAGGCUCUUGCCGCAGAUCUGCUCCCCUUAUUUCACCAGCUUGGGUUUCUGCCCCACCUGGGCUUCCCCUCUUGCUGAACUCUGG
rnacentral:sRNA from 1 species